rnacentral:rRNA from 1 species
ACGGGUGCGUAACGCGUAUGCAACCUGCCCGCGACAGGGGUAUAACGGAGGGAAACUUCCACUAAUCCCCCGUAACACUUGGGUUCGCAUGGACCCGGGUUGAAAGGAGUGAUCCGGUCGCGGAUGGGCAUGCGUGACAUUAGCUAGUUGGCGGGGCAACGGCCCACCAAGGCUGCGAUGUCUAGGGGAGCUGAGAGGCUAAUCCCCCACACUGGUACUGAGACACGGACCAGACUCCUACGGGAGGCAGCAGUGAGGAAUAUUGGUCAAUGGUCGGAAGACUGAACCAGCCAUGCCGCGUGGAGGAAGAAGGCCCUACGGGUCGUAAACUUCUUUUGCCGCAGAGUAAUAAGCGGGGUGCGCCCCGCGAUGAGAGUAUGCGGCGAAUAAGCAUCGGCUAACUCCGUGCCAGCAGCCGCGGUAAUACGGAGGAUGCGAGCGUUAUCCGGAUUUAUUGGGUUUAAAGGGUGCGUAGGCGGACGCGUAAGUCAGCGGUGAAAUGUCCCGGCUCAACCGGGGAGCUGCCGUUGAUACUGCACGACUAGGGUGCGAGCGGCGCCGGCGGAAUGUGUGGUGUAGCGGUGAAAUGCAUAGAUACCACACAGAACACCGAUCGCGAAGGCAGCUGGCGAGGACGUUACUGACGCUGAGGCACGAAGGCGUGGGGAUCGAACAGGAUUAGAUACCCUGGUAGUCCACGCAGUAAACGAUGGGGACUUGUUGCCGGCGACAGGCUGUCGGUGACAAAGCGAAAGCGAUAAGUCCCCCACCUGGGGAGUACGAUCGCAAGGUUGAAACUCAAAUGAAUUGACGG